GUGCUUAAAAAUCACAGGAUGAAAUGCCAUAAUUCUGACCCAACUUAAAAAAACAACUGCUGAAAUUGUUUUGUCACAGGCGAGCCAUGAGGCACUGGGAAUUGUAGAAAUUAAAUGCUGACAGACAAUAUUUGUGGCAGUUGCCAGAUAUGAAUGCAGGAUUCUGUUGGUUUUGAACUCUCUAUUCAGAUGAAUGACAAAGAACUUUCUCUCAGUCUCUGUCUGUUUGUCUUUAUGUCUGCUGUGACAGCACUGUGACACACGCUAUGUUUUGUUCUCUUAAUUGGAGAGCAGGCUCUGGUUCUAAUGCCUGCUGGAAACCUGUAUAGAACUGCAUGCAUAAUCCAUUCUGUAGGAGGGAAACAUCCUGGCUAUUCUUUGGCUCUGUUCAGUCCUAUUUCAGCAGAAUGUGCAACUUAUUGUGUUGCAUUAUGGGCAAUGCACUGAAACAAGAUUCGUUAACAA